rnacentral:rRNA from 1 species
GACAGAGGGUGCAAUCGUUGUUCGGAAUUACUGGGCGUAAAGCGCGUGUAGGCUGCUUCGAAAGUCGGAUGUGAAAGCCCUGGGCUCAACCUAGGAAGUGCAUUCGAAACUUCGAAGCUUGAGUUCUGGAGAGGAAGGCGGAAUUCUCGGUGUAGAGGUGAAAUUCGUAGAUAUCGAGAGGAACACCGGUGGCGAAGGCGGCCUUCUGGACAGUGACUGACGCUGAGACGCGAAAGCGUGGGGAGCAAACAGG